CGAAAUGCGAUACGUAAUGUGAAUUGCAAAUUCAGUGAAUCAUCGAGUCUUUGAACGCACAUUGCGCCCCCUGGUAUUCCGGGGGGCAUGCCUGUCCGAGCGUCAUUUCUGCCCUCAAGCACGGCUUGUGUGUUGGGCCCCGUCCUCCGAUCCCGGGGGACGGGCCCGAAAGGCAGCGGCGGUACCGCGUCCGGUCCUCGAGCGUAUGGGGCUUUGUCACCCGCUCUGUAGGCCCGGCCGGCGCUUGCCGAUCAACCCAAAUUUUUAUCCAGGUUGACCUCGGAUCAGGUAGGGAUACCCGCUGAACUUAAGC
rnacentral:misc_RNA from 1 species